ensembl:lncRNA
CUAAGAUCUGUUUCAAAGAACUUUUUUUUUUUUUUACUGUCUAUCAGUCAACAAAUUCCUUCCAAAGUGAAGCUCAGAAUCUAUUAUAAUUUUCUCCUUUUCACAGAAGGACCAUGGAACAGAUAGCAUAGCGGUGCAAUAAAACACCCACAUCAUUAAAUAUCAAACACUUUUAAGAGCUAAAUAAAUGCAAUCAAUGUGUGGAUUUCUAAAGCUUUCCAUUAACAGCUGAUGGUAAUAAAAGAAGCUUAGAAGAGCGGUGCGCUCCUACAUGCUGCGAGCUGAAGCGUGAUUCAUUAGCUGAUAUAAUCACUAAAGGCUUGGUGUGUUAUUCACAGCAUACUGUAUAUUUCUGAAGGCAUGGUUUUGUGAAAUCUGAGUGAGGAGGUGAAUAAAAAAUAAUUCAGAAUCAGAGUUAGGUAGAGUUAAAAGAAGGCAGAGUGUUGAGAAUGCGUGAUUGGAGCAGGUGUGUGGGACUUGGCUGGCUGAUGAGCAAAACACAAACAAGCAAACAAACAAAAAAAAAAAACCUGUUUGUAUCUAGAAUAUCUAAAAUGGGAUCCCAAUGUUGCAACCCUUAUAAGACUUGUGAAGAAAGCUACAGAAAACACACAGGAAACCUGCAAUACAAAAUCAAAGCUGACAGAGUCGCUGCACUGGGUGUCGUUCCCAGGCAACAGUUGUGAGCUUUGACAUUUUGGAUGUUGGGACAGAGCAGUUCUAAAAAUCAAAGUUCAACCGCCCUCAUCUGUGUCAGUUUGAGUUCAAUUUCAGACCUUCAUCUCCAAACAAUUGUGUGAAGCUGAAAGUGUUUGCACAAGUCUGAAUAAGACGUUUUUGACUGUGCGACAUCAAUUCAGCACUUUGACACUAUUAGAAACCAAGAGAAGUCUUGGCAGAUCUGUGGAGACAAACAGCUGUUAAUGUAGAAACAUCACAGCCUCCUUCUUUAGUAUUUAAAAGUGAAGGACGGCUGCCUCCUAUUUUACAGAGUUCAGAUUCUCUUGGUUCACCGUUUGCCUCUGAAGUGUGCACUAAUGAACCGAGGCACACCUAUCAAUCACCUCUGUGCUUUAAUACUACUUUCACAUAGCAAGCUUACAGGCUCAGGUCCAAUCUGCUGAUACUGGAUCAUCAGUAUCUAAGUAUGCACUGAAUCAUCCCGCCUGACAAACUCAAGCAGCUGCACUACACUUCUCAUUUGUCCUUAGACCCUUUCACUACAUUUGUCUCUUUUUAUUCUUCUAAAUGCCAUCUUUUUCUUACAUUUUUUUUAAUGGCAGUGCUAUACAAAGUCAGUUGGGCGGUGUGGUUGUUUGCUUUCUUGCAACGUGAUACAUGAGAAGGUUGCUCUAAAAGUCUGACACUAAUUGUAAAUCCACGUGAUGGUUACCUAGAGAAUAAAUCCUAAAAGCAGUUAGAGCUGCCAUUAUUAGUUGGAAAUAUUCUAUGAUGUCGAUGUUAAAAAUGUACUGAAUAUUUUUACUUUAGUUCACUAUAACAGAUUAUAAAUACAUUUUCUUCAUCAUUACAUUGUUCUUGGCUCCAGCCACUGUUCAGCUGAAGUCAGAUUUACAGAUUUAGACAACAGCAGCAUGUAUGAACACCUGAAGUGAAACACACAUGACCAAUUCGUAUAAACAGAGCAAACGAUCUCUGCAUCAUUUCUUGCACUGCUCUGUUGCAAAGAACUCCUUCCAGUUUUAUAUGUAACACAAAAUCACUCCAAACGGUUAUCAAGUCAAGCCUGUCCUGCUUUGUCACGCCAACUCAGCAAAGCUAAACUAUGUAUAUAGCAGAUAAAGCAACACUAACUUGUGUCUCUGUUCCAAAGAUCCAAGUUCAAGAUUUGUUUGCUAAUUAGAAUUAUUAGAAAACAUCAGCUGUAUGUCACACACGAAAGAAUGAAAGAAUUUGGGCACUUUCAGCUGCUAUGUGAAUGUAGUCUCUCUUCCAUGCAAAGAUUUCAACAGGCAUUUAUACACUUCAGUGAGAAAGUGAAGCUAUAGAGGCCUCUGACUUUGUGACAUUAAGAUUUAUCGGUCUGUAUUGAGACUUGAG